rnacentral:lncRNA from 1 species
CACAGUUACGGUUGCAUAAGCUUCAUGUAAGUAUUUUUUAGUUCAUGUACUGUCCAUAAUGAAAUAGGAUGCAAGUAACAUAGCAUGUCUGUUUUCAAGAAGCAGCCUAGCGUUUCUCGCAAAAUGUGCAACGUAACCUACAAAUUUAUCCUCAUAUUAGGAUUAAAGGUACAUACACAUUUACAAACAAUAUCUUCAAACUGGAAAGUUUAAUGUGUAUAGUUUAAAGGUUAACAUGUUAACUUAUAUUUUUAGUUAAAAUCAAUCGGGUCCAGGACCAAUCCAGUAUAUCUUAUCAUAAUCCUUCGUUUUUAUUUCAAUUUUCUAUGUGCAUACAUUUAGAGUAAUUAAGAACUGUUAAACUCAGUGCAUGAUAAAUAUUUCGGGUAAUGGAAACAUUCUUCUGCAUUUAUUUCCAUAUUUUUCCAGAAAUUCACAAUUGCAUGUUUGUAGUAUAAUUAUUGUGUGUGUACUAAAAAAGGUGUUUCGGUUAUGGUCAUGUAGACCUAGGCUUAUCCUCGUCAGUUAUCCCUAGCCUAUGUGUUUCCUCCUUUGUAAUAUGUAGAAUAGUUCCAAUUCGAUUCCUCUUAUGGGGAUACGACACCUGUUUGUACAAUCGUUUUUAGGGUCUUUAACUUUACUGAUGCAUCUAGUAAAGUGGAACUUAAGUCCGAAUAAUUAUUCAAUACGUUAUAUAUUUGUUGAGUUUUCGUGACCUUUUGCUCGAUAAAUAUCCUGCAUGGUUAUAAAUUUUACCGAGAAUCAAUACAUUCGCUUCUUGUUCUCUGUUGAGUUUCCCACUGUUAAAAUUUUCAAAUCGUGUUUCUUCCUAGACGCAAAGUUGAUUACAGCAUAUAAGAUGCAGCGUUUCAGAAUUAUAGGGUAUUAGUACUGAUCACAUUCAAACUUGAUGUCCUUUUUUCAAUAAAUUUAAGAUUUUUAGAGUUUCAAGAGUCAAACAUUUACAUGAACGAUGGUUAUCCUUCCGGAGCACCAUUUAUUAACUAAAAAUUUUGUGGGGUUCGUGUUGCUCCGGAAUGGAUUUCUAUGUCGUGUUUUAGGUACAUGCUGUUUUUCUAUCUUUUGGUUGUUUAUCAUUAUUGCCAAGGGAUUGUUUUUAUCAUAUGACUUUAAAACAUUACCUUCUAAAAUAUCUUCAGUAUCUCUUUUGUCUCUUUCGUGACAAUUUACAAACACAUUACUAGUGAAAGGAAAAUGUAUGUGACAGAACAAAAAUGUUGUAUUAUGAUGAUGUUAUAAGCAGAAGUCACUUAAAAGUACUCGUCGACUUUAUUUAAAAGUUAUGUUAACAUAGCUGCAACAUUUCUAGUACACCAUGAUUGUCAAUAAAAUCGUGUAUAAUAAGAACACGUACAAUGUAAUAACUUUAUUUACUGUGAACUCUAGACAAAUUGUUUUCGAAAACAUUUGUUUUGUGAAGAUUAUAAUUAGUCUAUGUUGUUAUAGGAUUGAGAUAAAAAAAAAAAUGGUUUCAAAAAGUUUGAGACGGGGAAAAGGCAAAUCUGUUAAACAAAACAAUAUACAUCUGAGCAUACACAAUUGUCAAAAAGAAUGCAAUAAACUUAUAAACUGUCGUUUAUACUUGACAUAUAUAUAUAUUUGAUAAACUAAACCUCUGUAUCUGAAUAAAUGUGUCUUUGCACGACAUUUUUGUUCUUUUUUUCAGUUUCUGGAAAAUAAUAAAAUAGAAAAAUGAAGAUUUCCGUUUGGUUAAUUGUCUCUCUGUUGUUGGUCUUUUCUGAAGGUAAGAUAAUUACAAGAUGAAAUCAACUAACCGAUUCGUGUAAGUUCUAUUUCAUUUUGGAAUAAUUUGCACAAACAGUAACCCAAUGAAAAAGUUUUUAAAACUGAGGUUGGUGACCUGCAUGAUUUCACUAAUUUAAGUACAGUUAAUCUAUUGUCAAAUGGAUUGGUUGAGUUAGGUUAAUGUGUGUAAUACAAUUGUUUGCAUGAAUCGCAAUAUUAUAGCAGCGAUUUUGGUGUUGGUAGGGGGAGUCCAUGUUCAAAUGAUAUUAUCAUUAAAAAUGCAAUAUUAGUUGUGCAACAACCAACAAUUAUUUAUUAAAAUAUUUGAUUCUAAUAUUUCCAGUCAACAUGGCUAAUGAAGAAAUGCAAGAUGGCAAUAGAUUUCUUGAGAAGUAAGUUUAACAAAUAAAUAAUUUAAUUUGGUUAAAUGGUUAAUUGGUUUUAGAUUCUAGGUAGAAAAAAAAGUAUUAUUGUAGAUAAUGUCAAAUAGUAUGCAUACACUUAAUAUUCGAUGUUUAAAUGGAUAGGGUUUACUUAGCUUGCAGACACUUUAAACUGAUUUACACAAAAAGGAAUAUGUAGCAUAAUACGUUCCUUAAUUAUUGGUUCUAGGUAUAUUGCUCCUUGCAGAGAAACCAAUGGCUAAAUAAACAUGUCAAACAAUACUUUUAACAUCUAACUACCACACAUCAUAACCAAAACUGAAGUUAUUCACAAACUAAAAUCUGUCUUCCUUAAUUUUUAUACAUAUAGCGCCAUCAUAGUGCAUAGUUUAUUGUAGUCAACGUAUUUUUUUUUUAAAUUCAAGUACCGUUUUAAGGGCAAUAAUUUCAUAUGUAAUGCAUGUAAAGUAGUCUAUUCUAUUUGCAAAGGUUAAACUGAAUUUUGAAAUAUAUAUAGAAAGAUCAAUUAAAACCGUGUAUGAUAAUAAACGUUUCCAACAAACAUAAUUCCACAAAUGACCUGUUGUAGGCUUGUCAAAAGAAGUGUUGGUGUUGGUGUUCAUCGAGGGUGUAAGGGUAGACCAUGCAGUUUUUCCAAUUCGUGCUGCCACAAACACAGAUGUUCUAAUGGAUAUUGCGACAUAAUACACGGCAAGUGAGUCCCGGGUCCAUUACUUACAAGUAAUACAAAAAACUGAAGCAGCAGACUCACGACAUUAAUGUUACUUUAAAUGUAAGACUUAC